CAUCCUAGUCCUCCAAACGAUUCUCCAAGUCACUUUCACCUCCCGCCUGCCUGUCGAAUAGCCGCCAGCCGAGUCAAAAGUCUCGCGUCCGCGACGCGUGCCUUCGAGCCCACUCAGUCUCCCUCCCUUUCUUGGAAGCACCGGAAACACCCCCCCCACCUAUAAAAACGAACCCAAUUUCCCCUCCUCCUGUCACCUCCCCCAUCAAAAACUCUUCGAAUUCUUACCAUCCUCUCUCCCAAUUUUCUGGUUCUUAUUGAUUUCUGGAAGAUGAACUUCGUGAGACUUCUCCCAAUCAUUGGCUUCAUGUUCUUGGCACUGUUGGGGCUAAGUCAUGCGCAGGCCUUGGCUCCUUCUCCUGCACCCGAGGGUCCAUCCAGCGAUGGCGCGGCGAUAGAUCAAGGCAUCGCCUACACCCUUCUACUAGUCGCCCUUGCGAUCACAUACCUCAUCCAUUGAUGAUUUUUCAUUUCUUCAUUUUUUUUUUUUAAUUUUUUUUUUUAUUUUUCAGUUGGUCGGACUGAUGUAUUGAUAUAAAUUCUAUGUAUUUACCGUCGCCAUUCAUAUGGAGCCUUGCAGCAAUUCUUUUUCA